rnacentral:rRNA from 1 species
UACGGAGGGAGCUAGCGUUGUUCGGAAUUACUGGGCGUAAAGCGCGCGUAGGCGGCUUUGUAAGUUAGAGGUGAAAGCCCGGGGCUCAACCCCGGAAUUGCCUUUAAGACUGCAUCGCUUGAAUCCGGGAGAGGUGAGUGGAAUUCCGAGUGUAGAGGUGAAAUUCGUAGAUAUUCGGAAGAACACCAGUGGCGAAGGCGGCUCACUGGACCGGCAUUGACGCUGAGGUGCGAAAGCGUGCGGAGCAAACAGG